CUGAAAUGAAUACCCAUGCGUGAGAAGCAAUGAUGGUGUCUUGUGGAAAGCUUGCGCUCGCCGAGGCUGGAAAAUCCUUCAAAGAAAGGCUCUGGUGAUCCUGGGCAAUAAGGAAUUACCAUGCUGAUGGUGGAUCAAACCAAGACAAGCAGACAGCGGUGGAUGAAUGGGAGAAAUGAGCUGUGAUGAGCACGGAAGGUCAGGCAGGUGGCACCAGGGAAGGGUCUUCCCUCGCUCUUCUGCAUGUUCAGACUGCUCAGCUGCCCAACGAAACGAGAGGGGAUGCUGCUGUUUUUCAUCACCUUGUGCUGGAAGAAGCCUGGGAAAGGAGUCUGGCUGGACAGCCCCCCCUAGAAGGGAGUGCGGGGGUUUCCUGUUGCCUUCCCAGGUGCUUUCCAAGGGCUCUGACUGACCAAAGCAGUUUGUGUUCUGGUGGUGGAGGGGGUUUCUGUCCCAGUGCAAACGUAGGAGCUUGCAUAACCCUUUCUGAGCUCAGCUCACAGCCGCACAGGGCAAUGCCAGCCACUUCUGUAGAUCCACAGCGGCAUGGGGACAGGCUGCCUGUGCCUGGCUCGGAGCAUUACUCAAGGCCCUGAAUUAUGGCUACUGGUCACUCCAGUAGCAUUUUGUAUUGCCCCCAAG
rnacentral:lncRNA from 1 species